rnacentral:rRNA from 1 species
CCUACGGAGGGCAGCAGUGGGGAAUAUUGGACAAUGGGCGAAAGCCUGAUCCAGCCAUGCCGCGUGUGUGAAGAAGGCCUUCGGGUUGUAAAGCACUUUCAGUGGGGAAGAAAGCCUUGGGGCUAAUACCCUCGAGGAAGGACAUCACCCACAGAAGAAGCACCGGCUAACUCCGUGCCAGCAGCCGCGGUAAUACGGAGGGUGCGAGCGUUAAUCGGAAUUACUGGGCGUAAAGCGCGCGUAGGCGGUCUGAUAAGCCGGUUGUGAAAGCCCCGGGCUCAACCUGGGAACGGCAUCCGGAACUGUCAGGCUAGAGUGCAGGAGAGGAAGGUAGAAUUCCCGGUGUAGCGGUGAAAUGCGUAGAGAUCGGGAGGAAUACCAGUGGCGAAGGCGGCCUUCUGGACUGACACUGACGCUGAGGUGCGAAAGCGUGGGUAGCAAACAGGAUUAGAUACCCUUGUAGU